rnacentral:rRNA from 1 species
UACGUAGGCAGCGAGCGUUGUUCGGAGUUACUGGGCGUAAAGGGCGCGUAGGCGGCCUGUUAAGUCGAACGUGAAAUCCCCGGGCUCAACCCGGGAACUGCGUCCGAUACUGGCAGGCUUGAAUUCGGGAGAGGGAUGUGGAAUUCCAGGUGUAGCGGUGAAAUGCGUAGAUAUCUGGAGGAACACCGGUGGCGAAGGCGGCAUCCUGGACCGAUAUUGACGCUGAUGCGCGAAAGCCAGGGGAGCAAACGGG